rnacentral:rRNA from 1 species
CAAUAGCGUAUAUUAAAGUUGUUGCAGUUAAAAAGCUCGUAGUUGGAUUUGUGGCGUACGGUGUGUUCCGGGCACUUGUUGCCUGAGUAACCUGCUGUUGCCAUCCUUGGGUGGAACCUGUGUGGCAUUAGGUUGUCGUGCAGGGGAUGCCCAUCAUUUACUGUGAAAAAAUUAGAGUGUUCAAAGCAGGCUUAUGCCGUUGAAUAUAUUAGCAUGGAAUAAUGAGAUAGGACUUUUUUGCUAUUUUGUUGGUUUGCGCAAAGAGGUAAUGAUUAAUAGGGACAGUUGGGGGUAUUCGUAUUCCAUUGUCAGAGGUGAAAUUCUUGGAUUUUCGGAAGACGAACUACUGCGAAAGCAUUUACCAAGGAUGUUUUCAUUAA